rnacentral:pre_miRNA from 1 species
AGGAGCGGGACACAGGAACAUGACCUAUGAACUGACAGACAGUGGCUCGCCUGCCUGUCACUUCCAUAGGCCAAAUUCUGUGGCCCACUGGCACUUC